AUCCUAAUGGUGGUGAACUUC
rnacentral:siRNA from 1 species